AAACUAUACGGCUUUAAGAGCCAACCAGGGAUUCUGAGGUGUCUUCCUUGGUUGACUACAUCCAUGAGACGACAAAACACACUGUGCAAAGGACCUUGAGAACAUCACCACUCUACAGGAAGACACAGUCCAGUAAUGGGUGUCAGAUGUUCAGCAGUGGACGACAGGACCAACCAAUCAAAAUGACUUGCAGAACGCCAUUGAGGACUCUAUUUGAGCAUUAAGCAGCAAAGAUUUCAGCUGUAUCGUCAGGCUGGCAGUACUGAGGCAUUUACGGAGACGGGACAUGAGGGUCUACUCUGCGUGCUCAAGAGAAGAUUGCACAAAGUUCAAGCUCAGCAGGCUGCAGUGGGUCCGACAUAUUCUGGAACGGCAACAAUGUCUUUGGAUGACUCCUCCUCUGAAGAGGAAAACAUGGAGAGUUACUUCUUCGCUGCUCAAGAACUGCGAGUGCUGUGAUUAGUUCUUCUCAAGUGAAGCUGUACCACUGUGCUCCAGCUCCACACUCCCUCCUGCAGCCUCCGCUCCUGAUGCUAACCUCCUGUCUCCAUCACACCAAGCAGCAAACCUGGAGUGACAGAACCUUCUCCAUAGCUGCCCCCUCCCUCUGAAACCCCCUCUCCCAAACACUAUUUUUGUAUUUUUUUGCAUGAGAAUUGUUGAUCAUAUCAUUUCCAGCAACUGCCUUAAUGUAAUUUCUGUGCAUAAUAAAUGACAUUGAUCAUAACAUA